UGUUAUGUGAAUGUGGAUUGUAGAUUGUAAACAUGGCAGCUCCUGUAGGGAUUGAUGGGCUGGAUCCACCGCAGAAUCCUGAUACUCACGCGGCUUCUCAUGGCAGGCUUGAUCCCCAGUUUUCACCUCAGAUGCCUUACCGGCUUACGAUGGAAGAAGUAAGAGUACUAAGACAAUGCAACCGAGAUAGUUUCUAUCAGAGAUCGUUACCUUUCGCAACAAUUUUGGGUGGUACAACCUAUUUAGCCGUGAAGUCAGGUUACUUCAAGGCUCACCCUCGUUUUGGUGCCACCCCAAAAGUCAUUGUGGCAGGCCUCUUGGGUUAUUUUGUAGGGAAAGUAUCAUACCAGAGCAGAUGUGCUGAGAAAUUGAUGCAGCUUCCCAACAGUCGUAUUGGAGAAGCUCUAAGGCAAAGGAAGAGACAAGGAAAUCAAGAAAUACUAACAAUGGAUCCAAGUUUUGGUGCUGGAGUGUCAUUACCAACAUUUGGAAGUUUGGAUACAUUCUCAGAUGUAGGACCACAACAUGACUUGGAUUCUGGAUACCCAGUGAGUGAAGGGUUAGAUGAUACAUACAGGCCAACUCUUGACUCACCAGCAUUUGAAGAAGAGAUGCCUCUGCCUGAGGCACAGCAGCGUUCUACAACAUAUGAAGAACUGCGUAGGAAGAACAGAGAAGAAUAUGAGCAAAAGAAAACAAAACCAUACAGAGGUAUAGCGGGUACUGAUGAGGUGCCUACCGUAAUUCGUCAACAAACACCAUUGGAGGAACAGGCACCUAAAAGACCUACACCACCACCUUCUUGGAACAAACCAAAAAACAAAUAUGGAGAUGUGUGGGAAGAAUAACAUGUAGGUUGUUAAUUUUUUGAAGACUGUUAUUACGUGUGUUACUGCUGAGCUAUUCUGCACGAAACCAUUUCACAUUAUUUGCUCCGUUGCGGUCUUCAUGUGCAGAUUUUUUAGAUUGUCUUUUAUGAGGUAUUCGGCAAUAAAUUGUUUGGCUAUUAUUUUAGCAGAAAAUAUUUUCGAGUGAUUAUGUUAUUAUGAUGAAUAUUUGCAAUUGACCAACAUAUAUGCUAAUUUUCCAAAAAGUUGUUUCAAAUAUAUUGAUACAAUUUUACCGCUGUUUACUCCAGUAUUUGUUUAUUGUCCAGCAUACAGAAAAGAAUGGUUUCAGCAAGAAGGUUUACCCUUUGAAACACGAAGUUUUUUGUUUGAUGUUUUCAGAUGUAAUUCUCAUUGUCUAUUGGCUUUAAACUUUUAUUUUUAUACUUGAAUCCUUAUUGCUGUCAAAACAAAUAUGAACACCAGUUAAGCAAGUUUCAAAAUGAAGUUGAGAGCAGUAAACCCUGCCUCCUAAUGUGUGUUAACUAUAAUUAAAUCUUGUGAAAUUUGGCAUAUUGCUGUUUUUGUGUAUCCUCCAUGAUUGGAUGAAGAGAAUAGCUGAAGUUGCAGUAAACUGUAUAUAAUAUAUUUAUUAUUUUGUGCUUUAUCCAAAGUGCAAUCUUCAGAUUUUGGUGAACUUAUUGUAUGCCUUUCAAAUUGUUUUCGUGCUGCAGAGAUUUCAUUUUCUUAAAAAUUGUCGAGUUUUGGGUUCGAUGCUGUAAUAUGGCGACGUUACUCAUUUUUCAUUGAUGAACAAGUAAGACUGCUCAAAACAAGGCCUGGCAUAAGGUGAAGCACCUGGAAAACAUGGUCAGAUGUCAAUGUAACUUUGUAAAUGUACAUGUACACACCAUUGGUGAGUAUGUAACUGAUUAACAUGGCAGUUCUCAGUGACAGGUAGAAUUCACAUCAGACUGCAUUAGUGUUGUUCUUGUUUAGUGCUAUUACCUGGCCCCAUAGGAUAUGUAAAGUGCGGGAACAUCAUCAGAUCUUGAGUGAUCAGGAUGAUGUUGCAUAAUCAUGUGUGAAAGUGUUAUAAAGUACCUGACAGUGUUUGAAAGGGGCAUCUUCUUGGGUCUCCAUUUGGCUGGCUGAUUGAAUAGUGCAAUAUCCAGAUUUGUAGAGCAUUCGGUUAUGACAGUGGCCUGGUGUUGGACUACAGGGGAACAUGAGGGCAGGCACAUUUGUCAACAAGAAUCUGGUCAAGCAUGAAAUGAAAUGAGUGUAUGGCAUCGUUGACCAGGAGGUCCCAUCUGGGGAAGUUCAUCCCCAAGUGCAAGUCUUAUUUCAGUUGAAGCCAUGUUGGGUGACUUGUGCACUGGUGAUGAGGAUGAAAAGAUGAUGACAAAACACAAUGCCCAGUUCUCAAGUAGAGAAAAUCUCCAACCUGGCCGGUAAUUGAAUCUGGGCCCAUUUGCAGGGGAAGCGAGCAUGUUACCACCCAGCUAAGCAGUCGGACUCCAGUCAAGCAUGUCUGACCAGCACAAGGGUAAAUCAUUUCACCAAGUGCAUCUUAACCCCUUAACAUUUGUGUUUGUCAUAUGAGAAAAAUCAAUGGACUCUGCAACAUUCUGUUCUUUCUGUACCAUUGGACGGAGACUAGGAGCAGUCAGACUAGAUUACCAUCCCAUGCUUAGGCUGCUGUUUACACUACGACACAAAUGACUGCAUUUGGAUUGGUACUGUGACAGUGAAGUGCAACUGUUGAUGGACAGUGUCACAUUGUGUUCAGUAAUGAAUUGUGCGUGUACACUACCCCAGUGUACAUCAUUGCCAAGUAUGGAGACAGCCUGGAAAAAGAUCGCUUUCAUCCAAUGUUGGAGAGGCACAGAAGUAUUACUCAUCCAUCCUGUUAUGGGUUGCCAUCAGUUAUGUCUUCUGGUCACGGCUGCUAGUGAUUGAGAGAACUGUGAUGGCACAAUGGUACGUAACUGAUACCCUGCAUCCUCGUGGUCAUCUUUCAUGUGACAGGAUUGUGGUACCAUUUUUCCACAGGACAACACUCAUGUACAUGUGGCACAUGUCACUAUGAACUGUCUGCAUGAUGUUAAGGUACUCCUGUGGCCAGCAAGUUCCCUGAUGGAACAAGUGUGCACCAAUGCAGACAUCAAUCUAUCCAGUGCCAGUAUCUAGGAUAGUUACAACAUUUGUGGGCCAGCUUGCCUCACAGUGGGAUACAACUACUUUAUGGCACCCUUCCCAACCAAAUCAGUGCAUGAAUACCGGCCAGAGGGUGUGCAGUGUCAUACUGAUAAGUGGACUAACACUGCUGAUUUAUUUGUAAAUUUGAUUUGAUUAUGUAAUUAGUGAAAUAACAUCACAGAACCUUCAA